UGCAGUCGUACGCUUCUUUUUCCACCGGAGCUUGCUCCACCGGAAAAAGAGGAGUGGCGAACGGGUGAGUAACACGUGGGUAACCUGCCCAUCAGAAGGGGAUAACACUUGGAAACAGGUGCUAAUACCGUAUAACAAUCGAAACCGCAUGGUUUUGAUUUGAAAGGCGCUUUCGGGUGUCGCUGAUGGAUGGACCCGCGGUGCAUUAGCUAGUUGGUGAGGUAACGGCUCACCAAGGCCACGAUGCAUAGCCGACCUGAGAGGGUGAUCGGCCACAUUGGGACUGAGACACGGCCCAAACUCCUACGGGAGGCAGCAGUAGGGAAUCUUCGGCAAUGGACGAAAGUCUGACCGAGCAACGCCGCGUGAGUGAAGAAGGUUUUCGGAUCGUAAAACUCUGUUGUUAGAGAAGAAUAAGGAUGAGAGUAACUGUUCAUCCCUUGACGGUAUCUAACCAGAAAGCCACGGCUAACUACGUGCCAGCA
rnacentral:rRNA from 1 species